GUAGGUGGCAAGCGUUGUCCGGAAUUAUUGGGCGUAAAGCGCGCGCAGGCGGUCCUUUAAGUCUGAUGUGAAAUCCCACGGCUCAACCGUGGAAGGUCAUUGGAAACUGGGGGACUUGAGUACAGAAGAGGAAAGCGGAAUUCCAAGUGUAGCGGUGAAAUGCGUAGAGAUUUGGAGGAACACCAGUGGCGAAGGCGGCUUUCUGGUCUGUAACUGACGCUGAGGCGCGAAAGCGUGGGGAGCAAACAGGAUUAGAUACCCUGGUAGUCCACGCCGUAAACGAUGAGUGCUAAGUGUUAGGGGGUUUCCCGCCCCCCUUAGUGCUGCAGCUAACGCAUUAAGCACUCCGCCUGGGGUAGUACGGUCGCAAGACUG
rnacentral:rRNA from 1 species